UACGUAGGGUGCGAGCGUGUCCGGAAUUAUUGGGCGUAAAGAGCUCGUAGGCGGUCUGUCGCGUCUGCUGUGAAAACCCGAGGCUCAACCUCGGGCCUGCAGUGGGUACGGGCAGGCUAGAGUGCGGUAGGGGAGAAUGGAACUCCUGGUGUAGCGGUGGAAUGCGCAGAUAUCAGGAAGAACACCGAUGGCGAAGGGCAGUUCUCUGGGCCGUAACUGACGCUGAGGAGCGAAAGCGUGGGGAGCGAACAGG
rnacentral:rRNA from 1 species